rnacentral:rRNA from 1 species
GGUUGAUCCUGCCAGUAGUCAUAUGCUUGUCCUAAAGAUUAAGCCAUGCAUGUCCAAGUAUAAACCUUUAUACGGUGAAACUGCGAAUGGCUCAUUAUAUCAGUUAUAAUUUACUUGAUGAAAACUUAUUACAUGGAUAACCGUGGUAAUUCUAGAGCUAAUACAUGCAUAGGGGGUAGCGUUAGUUACUCUGUAUUUAUUAGAUAAAACCAAAGUAAAGGGUUAAACCUUUGCGUAUGGCGAGUCAUGAUAACUGGGCGGAUCGUAUGGCCUUGAGCUGACGACGCAUCAUU